rnacentral:rRNA from 1 species
AGGUGGAGCAAAUCCCUAAAAGCCAUCCCAGUUCGGACCGCAGGCUGCAACCCGCCUGCGUGAAGUUGGAAUCGCUAGUAAUCGCGGAUCAGAAUGCCGCGGUGAAUACGUUCCCGGGUCUUGUACACACCGCCCGUCACACCAUGGGAGUCGGGAAUGCCCGAAGCCAGUGACCCAAGCGAGAGCAGGGAGCUGUCGAAGGCAGGCCGGAUAACUGGGGUGAAGUCGUAACAAGGUAAC